UGGGGAAUAUUGCACAAUGGGCGCAAGCCUGAUGCAGCCAUGCCGCGUGUGUGAAGAAGGCCUUCGGGUUGUAAAGCACUUUCAGCGGGGAGGAAGGCGAUAAGGUUAAUAACCUUGUCGAUUGACGUUACCCGCAGAAGAAGCACCGGCUAACUCCGUGCCAGCAGCCGCGGUAAUACGGAGGGUGCAAGCGUUAAUCGGAAUUACUGGGCGUAAAGCGCACGCAGGCGGUCUGUCAAGUCGGAUGUGAAAUCCCCGGGCUUAACCUGGGAACUGCAUUCGAAACUUGCAGGCUAGAGUCUUGUAGAGGGGGGUAGAAUUCCAGGUGUAGCGGUGAAAUGCGUAGAGAUCUGGAGGAAUACCGGUGGCGAAGGCGGCCCCCUGGACAAAGACUGACGCUCAGGUGCGAAAGCGUGGGGAGCAAACAGG
rnacentral:rRNA from 1 species